AUAGCUUUCAGCCUUUUGGCUAAGAUCAAGUGUACUAUCUGUUCUUAAUAGUUUGAUAUAUGAUACGUCUUCUAUCUGAGGACAAUAUAUUAUAUGGAUUUUUGGAGCAGAGAAUUCGAAUCGGAGCUUGUUCCUUCCACUCCACACAUAGACCUGAUACUGCAGUACCUCCAGCAAUCGUACACAAGAA